AGAGUUUGAUCCUGGCUCAGGAUGAACGCUGGCGGCGUGCCUAACACAUGCAAGUCGAACGGGGUUAUAACGCUGAGGAGACUUCGGUCAAAUCUUGUUGUAACUUAGUGGCGGACGGGUGAGUAACGCGUGGAUAACCUGCCAUACACAGGGGGAUAACAGUUAGAAAUGACUGCUAAUACCGCAUAAGCGCACGAAGGGGCAUCCUUUAGUGUGAAAAGCGGAUACGGUGUAUGAUGGGUCCGCGUCCGAUUAGCCAGUUGGCGGGGUAAGAGCCCACCAAAGCGACGAUCGGUAGCCGGCCUGAGAGGGUGAACGGCCACAUUGGGACUGAGAGACGGCCCAAACUCCUACGGGAGGCAGCAGUGGGGGAUAUUGCACAAUGGGGGGAACCCUGAUGCAAGCGACGCCGCGUGAGUGAAGAAGUUAUUCGUAAUGUAAAGCUCUAUCAGCAGGGAAGAGCAGACGGUACCUGACUAAGAAGCACCGGCUAAAUACGUGCCAGCCGCCGC
rnacentral:rRNA from 1 species